rnacentral:misc_RNA from 1 species
CCGAGUGAGGGCCUCCGGGCCCGACCUCCAACCCUUUGUGAACACACCCGUUGCCUCGGGGGCGACCCUGCCGUUUCGACGGCGAGCGCCCCCGGAGGUCUUCCAACACUGCAUCUUUGCGUCGGAGUUUAAGGGAAUGAAACA